rnacentral:rRNA from 1 species
UACAGAGGGUGCGAGCGUUGUCCGGAAUCACUGGGCGUAAAGGGCUCGUAGGUGGCCAACUAAGUCAGACGUGAAAUCCCUCGGCUUAACCGGGGAACUGCGUCUGAUACUGGAUGGCUUGAGUUUGGGAGAGGGACGCGGAAUUCCAGGUGUAGCGGUGAAAUGCGUAGAUAUCUGGAGGAACACCGGUGGCGAAGGCGGCGUCCUGGACCAACACUGACACUGAGGAGCGAAAGCCAGGGGAGCAAACGGG